CAGCAGCCGCGGUAAUACGUAGGGUGCAAGCGUUAAUCGGAAUUACUGGGCGUAAAGCGUGCGCAGGCGGUUCGUUAAGACAGAUGUGAAAUCCCCGGGCUUAACCUGGGAACUGCAUUUGUGACUGGCGGGCUAGAGUAUGGCAGAGGGGGGUAGAAUUCCACGUGUAGCAGUGAAAUGCGUAGAGAUGUGGAGGAAUACCGAUGGCGAAGGCAGCCCCCUGGGCCAAUACUGACGCUCAUGCACGAAAGCGUGGGGAGCAAACAGGAUUAGAUACCCGGGUAGUCCCUGUCUCUUAUAC
rnacentral:rRNA from 1 species